UUCUGCAGUAGUGGUCAUGAUUUCCGCUUGUCAUCGCUGGCAAUUCGCGGGAGACCGGGGUUCGAUUCCCCGAGCGAGAG